rnacentral:rRNA from 1 species
UACGGGGGGAGCAAGCGUUGUUCGGAUUUACUGGGCGUAAAGGGCGCGUAGGCGGCGCAACAAGUCACUUGUGAAAUCUCCGGGCUUAACUCGGAGCGGCCAAGUGAUACUGUCGUGCUAGAGUGCGGAAGGGGCAACUGGAAUUCUCGGUGUAGCGGUGAAAUGCGUAGAGAUCGGGAAGAAUACCGGUGGCGAAGGCGUUCCGCUGGGCCGUUGCUGACGCUGAGGCGCGACAGCGUGGGGAGCAAACAGG